rnacentral:tRNA from 1 species
CCUCCUUUCAAGGAGCAUCUAUCUUUUUAAAGAUGGAGAUGGUCGAACCUUAUUAUGAACGACUCCAUACAUUUCUUUAAUUUUCAUUGGGUUUGUAGCUCAGUUGGUUAGAGCACCGCUCUGAUAAGGCGGGGGUCGGUAGUUCGAGUCUACCCAGACCCACAUUUAUGUUUCUGCGCUACGACCUAUUGUAAUAUGGGGCUGUAGCUCAGUUGGGAGAGCAUCGCGUUUGCAACGCGAGGGUCGCAGGUUCGAUCCCUGUCAGCUCCACAAGUUUUUUUUUGCUUUUUGACAUGGUUGAUUAUAUAGAACAAAUAAAGAUCUAAAGAAUAUUGUCUAUCUGUAAAUAAACAAUAGAGCUUAUUAAUAAAAGGUGUAAGUCAAGUACAUAAGGGCGUAUGGUGGAUGCCUUGGUAUGUAAAGAUGAUGAAGGACGUGGUAA